rnacentral:rRNA from 1 species
UACCAGCACCCCGAGUGGUCGGGACGUUUAUUGGGCCUAAAGCAUCCGUAGCCGGUUCUACAAGUCUUUCGUUAAAUCCAACUGCUUAACAGGUGGGCUGCGGAAGAUACUAUAGAGCUAGGAGGCGGGAGAGGCAAGCGGUACUCGAUGGGUAGGGGUAAAAUCCGUUGAUCCAUUGAAGACCACCAGUGGCGAAGGCGGCUUGCCAGAACGCGCUCGACGGUGAGGGAUGAAAGCUGGGGGAGCAAACCGG